UUUUAAUACGUUUCAGUGUUUGUAUUCAGAAUGGAAGUUAUGAAAACGGAAGACACUGAUAUUGCGUGUUUUGUUUGUCUUAUUGUUAACGUCAGAAUGGUGUAGCGAUCCACGUCACCAAGGCGGGACUGUCGGUGAUGGCGGCGACUGACUCACUGCAUGAAGAUAAUGCAUAACCAGCAAAAAACUCACACACUUCAAGAAAGAAAAAAGAGAAAGAAGGAUAAGCAGGACUCACUUAGCCUUGCACACACUGGUCACAACAAAUGCACGGGCGAUCUGCAGCUCAGUGGUGUCGAUGGACUUGUCUUGGAGGAGGCGGGAGAGGUAGGAGUAGGUACGCGGCUCCACCCUCCACAGGUCAUGCACCAGACGCAGCACCAGGGGGCGGAGGCUGCUGGAGGACCACAGUGCCAGCAGGGUCUUCAGCACCUGCCCCACACACAGCUGGUUUGGGGUGAGAGGAAAUCAGUAUAGACAUUAUGUGCAAGAAAGAGGUGAUAGAUAUAACCUUUUCACUGCUGUUUGGGACCUUCUUCCUUAAUUGCUGACCACUCUGAGAUCUUUCUUCUUGUUCUACAGUGACACCUGAACAUUAUAUUGGCUAAGAAUUGUAAUACCUGUUUUAAUCCUAUUUUUUCUUAUUGAAGCUUAUAAACGUUUCAUAGUUUUUUUUAAUGUUGUAAAUUGUUGCAUGUGGCAGUGAAAGGGUUAAACGAAUACAGAGACUGAACUUUAUCUGUCCAUAUACCAGGCCAGCAAUUCUCCACGGGGUGACCCAGACAAAGCACCACACACUCAUACACAAACAUCAUUCACACUCAGUCCCUGGUGGAAAGCGACAGUUCCAUGGCUGGGACUAUGAAUACUGCUAUUGUAUUCCUUGCAUGUUGAAAGAGGUGACUAAGAGGGAUGGAACAAGGAGGCUAGGAAUUCUCUUUUCUGUAUGGUGUCCUACAAAGAAAAAUGCUACAUGGACUGGAAAAAAUUGGAAAGGGAAAAAAUGGAGAAUUAAGUUUUAUCAUCCAAUCACAUGGAAAAACACAUUAAAGAUUAUAAACAAGGAAAAGAAUAAGAUUUUCUCCCCACCUUACUUUGCACACUACACUCCAGGAGCAGCACAGACCCUCACCUUGUUGACAGCCAGGGAGGGGAGGGUGUACAGGAUGGUGAGGCGGGUGGUGGGGUCAGGCUCACGGCCCAGGCGGUACAGCACCAUUGGGAACACCUCCAAGCCCAGGCACUUCUGCUUCAUCACCUCCUUCUCCAACACCUAAGAGGGAGAUGCAGUUGUAGGAUGAGAUUUGAUUGAAGAAUAUUUCAUUUGUCUUUUUUUGUAUUAGUUGUAGUAGUUGUUUCAAAAAUACAAGUAAUAGUAGCAGUAGUCGUAAAAAAAAAAAAAAAAGAAUGACAGUAUUUGUAGUAGUAGUAGUGGUGGUGGUGGUGGUAGUGAAAGUUAUGUGAAGAAAAAUCCUUAAUCCUGAUUUAUGAAAAAUGAUACUUAAAAAGCUUUGAAAAAAAAAAAAUAAAUAAAUAAAUAAAUAAUAAUAAUAAUAAUAUAUAGUUGAUCCUCAUUUAGGAACUUACAAUUUAUUAAUAUUUUUUUAAGGAAUAUGACUCGCUUGUAUCUUCCUUUACUUUAUAUUUUUCUUUUAGUCUCUCUCUCUCUCUCUCUCUCUCUCUCUCUCUCUCUCUCUCUCUCUCUCUCUCUCUCUCUCUCUGUCUGUCUGUCUGUCUGUCUGUCUGUCUGUCUGUCUGUCUGUCUGUCUGUCUGUCUGUCUGUCUGUCUGUCUGGCUGGCUGGCUGGCUGUCUCUCAUGCAAACCCCUCACCUUGGUGGCCUGCUGGACAGACUGUGGUGUGGAGCCCUGGUAGAGGAACACAGAUGUCACAAUGGUGUAGUAAAAGCUGGAGAUCUGGUUGACUGAGGAGGCCAGUUUGGUGAGCCAGUCUGAAGCAAGCUGGGGGUCCUUCACCAGGCGGUCCGAGAACUCCAAGGCGGGCAGGAAGGAGACCAGACUUGGGUGUAUGCAGCACAGCAUCUCCCAGUGCUCAUUGCCUGAAACACCAAGUACAAUCUUCAGGUGGUGUCCCUAUUUACAUCACCAUGGAGACACUGACACACUGAUCUAAAGGUGGGAUAACUCAGCUGUAAAAUGUACAAAGACCACAAAUACUGGCACUCAUAAUCUCAAUUUAUUUCAUUAAGGUUUAUUACCAACAAAACCUACACCAAUACUCUUUCAGGGAGUCUCAAAGGAAAAUAAAGAAUCGAGACUUACUGAAAAACAAGAUAACAAACAAUGAUUAAUCUUACACAUAUAUAGAUAAGAUAGGUAGUUAGAUGUUUACUGACCACCAAGUUGUAGAUUUACAUAAUAUAUACAUACAUCACUAAAGGAGAUAUGCCCAACUACACACAUCUAAAACAGGUUAAACAUUAAUCUAAAAAAAAAGUUGAAAGUCAGGCCACAACAGCCAUCCAUUCCCAGUGAGCCUUGACAUGUGGACUCACCCGCAAGCUGUGUGUUGGCCGAGGCUUGUGCUGGGGUGGCUUGCACGAGGGAGAUGAGUGCCGCUGCAGCCGUGGUGAGGCCUGGCACAGCAGUACAGGGGGCGGACAGCACCUGCAGCAGUGAGGGCAGCAGCCGGGCGCCAAUGAGUGGGUUCCCGUCCUUGUGUGACAGAAGCGUGGCACCUGCAGGACAUAGAAUAUUGUACAACCACACCCAUGGGUUAAAACUUUCCCUGUGAUUUGUUAUGGUUUUUCCUUAAUUACUUACUAUUCUGAGGUCUUUUUCUUGCUACUUUCUUCCUACUGGGUAAAAAUUGCUAAUCUAUUAUUUUAGUUCCUCUUUUUUUUCUUUCUUGUUGAUAUUUAUUAAGAUUUCAUUGCUUUUACUACUGUGAGGUGCUACAUGUCAUGGUGAAAGGGUUAAGUGACUUGCUUCUUUCUGUUGCUAUAGAAUUGCUUCUGUUGCCUGGCAAAGAUGAAAUUGUUAUUCAUAUUCCUUCUUCUGGAUGUCCAUCUAAAUGAUUUAUUAAAGUGACCUUAGUGUUGGAGACAAUCAUAGCAAAAAAUGAGUUAAUCAAGGAACACAAUUCUUUCACAAACUACCACUCAUCUGUACAAUAAAUUACAACAAAAGUCAUGAAUGAAUACCAAGCUGCAGGAGGCUGAUCUGAAGGCGGCCUGAGGUGGAGGGCAGCACCUCAGCCAGCGCACAGACCGUGACGUCACAGCCGCGCCCAAGCCGGGACCCCAGCAGCCUCACAUCCCUCUCCAAUGUCCUAGUGCCCAAGCCGUGUUUCUUGCAGGUGACAAGGAGAAAAAGAGAGGGAAGAGGAAAGGAUGAGAUUUCAGACAAACAGUGCAAACAAAUCAGUGUCCCGAGGCUCACCAGGGCAAGAGGGAAAGCCAUGAGGAGGCAGGGGAGCACGGCAGACUGCAGGCGUGUCAGGUUCUCCCUCAUGGCCAGCUCUGCCAGGGAUGUCAGCACCAUCACCUUGCGUUCCACAUGCUCCCUGCUUGUGUCCUGAAGGAGGCACCGAUCAGAGAGGGUGAAUGGCCCACAAAGAGAAGAGUGAGUGGUAAACAAGACCCAUAGAGAGAGAAGAGAAAACAAAACACAAACACACACACACACACACACACUGUGUAGUGUAGUGGUAAGCACACUCGGCUCACAACCAAGAAGGCCCAGGUUUUAAUCCAGGUGUGGUGAGGCAAAUGGGCAAGCCUCUUAAUCUGUAGCCCCUGUUCACCUAGCAGCAAGUAGGUGCAGGAUGUAACCCGAGGGGUUGUGACCUCACUGUCCUGGUGUGUGGUGUGUGAGCGGUCUCAGUCCUAUCCAAAGAUUGGUCACUAUGAGCUCUGAGCUCUUUCCAUAGGGUAAUGGCUGGCUGGGUGACCAGCAGACGACCGUAGGUGAAUGACACACACACACACACACACACACACACACACACACACACACACAGAGGGAAGCAACCAUAAGAUCAGAGAGAAGAGUGAGUGGAAAACAAAAUACACACACAUACACACACACACACACACACACACACACACACACACACACACACACACACACACACACACACACAC